rnacentral:rRNA from 1 species
CGCGUAGGCUGUUGAGUAAGUCAAAUGUGAAAUCCCCGGGCUUAACCUGGGAACUGCAUUCGAUACUGCUUAACUAGAGUAUGGUAGAGGGAAGUGGAAUUCCGGUGUAGCGGUGAAAUGCGUAGAUAUCCGGAGGAACACCAGUGGCGAAGGCGACUUCCUGGGCCAAUACUGACGCUGAGGUGCGAAAGCGUGGGGAGCAAACA